rnacentral:rRNA from 1 species
GGUUAAGCGACUAAGCGUACACGGUGGAUGCCCUGGCAGUCAGAGGCGAUGAAGGACGUGCUAAUCUGCGAUAAGCGUCGGUAAGGUGAUAUGAACCGUUAUAACCGGCGAUUUCCGAAUGGGGAAACCCAGUGUGAUUCGUCACACUAUCAUUAACUGAAUCCAUAGGUUAAUGAGGCGAACCGGGGGAACUGAAACAUCUAAGUACCCCGAGGAAAAGAAAUCAACCGAGAUUCCCCCAGUAGCGGCGAGCGAACGGGGAGCAGCCCAGAGCCUGAAUCAGUGUGUGUGUUAGUGGAAGCGUCUGGAAAGGCGCGCGAUACAGGGUGACAGCCCCGUACACAAAAAUGCACAUACUGUGAGCUCGAUGAGUAGGGCGGGACACGUGGUAUCCUGUCUGAAUAUGGGGGGACCAUCCUCCAAGGCUAAAUACUCCUGACUGACCGAUAGUGAACCAGUACCGUGAGGGAAAGGCGAAAAGAACCCCGGCGAGGGGAGUGAAAAAGAACCUGAAACCGUGUACGUACAAGCAGUGGGAGCACGCUUAGGCGUGUGACUGCGUACCUUUUGUAUAAUGGGUCAGCGACUUAUAUUCUGUAGCAAGGUUAACCGAAUAGGGGAGCCGAAGGGAAACCGAGUCUUAACUGGGCGUUAAGUUGCAGGGUAUAGACCCGAAACCCGGUGAUCUAGCCAUGGGCAGGUUGAAGGUUGGGUAACACUAACUGGAGGACCGAACCGACUAAUGUUGAAAAAUUAGCGGAUGACUUGUGGCUGGGGGUGAAAGGCCAAUCAAACCGGGAGAUAGCUGGUUCUCCCCGAAAGCUAUUUAGGUAGCGCCUCGUGAAUUCAUCUCCGGGGGUAGAGCACUGUUUCGGCAAGGGGGUCAUCCCGACUUACCAACCCGAUGCAAACUGCGAAUACCGGAGAAUGUUAUCACGGGAGACACACGGCGGGUGCUAACGUCCGUCGUGAAGAGGGAAACAACCCAGACCGCCAGCUAAGGUCCCAAAGUCAUGGUUAAGUGGGAAACGAUGUGGGAAGGCCCAGACAGCCAGGAUGUUGGCUUAGAAGCAGCCAUCAUUUAAAGAAAGCGUAAUAGCUCACUGGUCGAGUCGGCCUGCGCGGAAGAUGUAACGGGGCUAAACCAUGCACCGAAGCUGCGGCAGCGACACUAUGUGUUGUUGGGUAGGGGAGCGUUCUGUAAGCCUGUGAAGGUGUGCUGUGAGGCAUGCUGGAGGUAUCAGAAGUGCGAAUGCUGACAUAAGUAACGAUAAAGCGGGUGAAAAGCCCGCUCGCCGGAAGACCAAGGGUUCCUGUCCAACGUUAAUCGGGGCAGGGUGAGUCGACCCCUAAGGCGAGGCCGAAAGGCGUAGUCGAUGGGAAACAGGUUAAUAUUCCUGUACUUGGUGUUACUGCGAAGGGGGGACGGAGAAGGCUAUGUUGGCCGGGCGACGGUUGUCCCGGUUUAAGCGUGUAGGCUGGUUUUCCAGGCAAAUCCGGAAAAUCAAGGCUGAGGCGUGAUGACGAGGCACUACGGUGCUGAAGCAACAAAUGCCCUGCUUCCAGGAAAAGCCUCUAAGCAUCAGGUAACAUCAAAUCGUACCCCAAACCGACACAGGUGGUCAGGUAGAGAAUACCAAGGCGCUUGAGAGAACUCGGGUGAAGGAACUAGGCAAAAUGGUGCCGUAACUUCGGGAGAAGGCACGCUGAUAUGUAGGUGAAGUCCCUUGCGGAUGGAGCUGAAAUCAGUCGAAGAUACCAGCUGGCUGCAACUGUUUAUUAAAAACACAGCACUGUGCAAACACGAAAGUGGACGUAUACGGUGUGACGCCUGCCCGGUGCCGGAAGGUUAAUUGAUGGGGUCAGCGCAAGCGAAGCUCUUGAUCGAAGCCCCGGUAAACGGCGGCCGUAACUAUAACGGUCCUAAGGUAGCGAAAUUCCUUGUCGGGUAAGUUCCGACCUGCACGAAUGGCGUAAUGAUGGCCAGGCUGUCUCCACCCGAGACUCAGUGAAAUUGAACUCGCUGUGAAGAUGCAGUGUACCCGCGGCAAGACGGAAAGACCCCGUGAACCUUUACUAUAGCUUGACACUGAACAUUGAGCCUUGAUGUGUAGGAUAGGUGGGAGGCUUGGAAGUGUGGACGCCAGUCUGCAUGGAGCCGACCUUGAAAUACCACCCUUUAAUGUUUGAUGUUCUAACGUUGACCCGUAAUCCGGGUUGCGGACAGUGUCUGGUGGGUAGUUUGACUGGGGCGGUCUCCUCCUAAAGAGUAACGGAGGAGCACGAAGGUUGGCUAAUCCUGGUCGGACAUCAGGAGGUUAGUGCAAUGGCAUAAGCCAGCUUGACUGCGAGCGUGACGGCGCGAGCAGGUGCGAAAGCAGGUCAUAGUGAUCCGGUGGUUCUGAAUGGAAGGGCCAUCGCUCAACGGAUAAAAGGUACUCCGGGGAUAACAGGCUGAUACCGCCCAAGAGUUCAUAUCGACGGCGGUGUUUGGCACCUCGAUGUCGGCUCAUCACAUCCUGGGGCUGAAGUAGGUCCCAAGGGUAUGGCUGUUCGCCAUUUAAAGUGGUACGCGAGCUGGGUUUAGAACGUCGUGAGACAGUUCGGUCCCUAUCUGCCGUGGGCGCUGGAGAACUGAGGGGGGCUGCUCCUAGUACGAGAGGACCGGAGUGGACGCAUCACUGGUGUUCGGGUUGUCAUGCCAAUGGCACUGCCCGGUAGCUAAAUGCGGAAGAGAUAAGUGCUGAAAGCAUCUAAGCACGAAACUUGCCCCGAGAUGAGUUCUCCCUGACCCUUUAAGGGUCCUGAAGGAACGUUGAAGACGACGACGUUGAUAGGCCGGGUGUGUAAGCGCAGCGAUGCGUUGAGCUAACCGGUACUAAUGAACCGUGAGGCUUAACCUU